GCAACAACUGAAGCCACAACCACAACAACGGAAGCUACAACAACAACAAAUGAAGCUCCAACCACAACUGAAGCCACAACCACAACAACGGAAGCCACAACCACAACAACGGAAGCUACAACAACAACAACUGAAGCUCCAACCACAACUGAAGCUACAACAGCAACAACUGAAGCCACAACCACAACAACGGAAGCUAUAACAACAACAACUGAGACUCCAACUACAACUAAUGAAGUUUCAACUACUACAGCUCAAUCAACAUCUACAACUACAAUCUUAUCUACAACAAGCUAUCCUUUAACUGUUGAAGAAAAAUCAUUUUGCCCAUGUUUGCAAAGUUUUUGUAAUUAUAAUGAUGACCCGUUCUGUGUGAAUGUGAUUCAAUCAUGUGUAAACACCACAACAGAAACAACAACAGAAGCAACAUCAACAACAACAACUGAAGUU
rnacentral:lncRNA from 1 species